GUCCCUGUAUCGCAAUGGAUAGCGCGUUGGACUUCUAAUCCAAAGGUCGUGGUUUUGUGAAUCCCAUCUGGGGUG